rnacentral:misc_RNA from 1 species
CCCACGACGGCUUGUCUGGCAUGGUGUCAGAGGUGGGCGGAUUCCGACCGGCUCCGACGGAAUGCCGCUAACGACGAGUACGAGCCCUUAUGCAACAACGGAAGCAGCGUCGACCUCGCCACCACAGCAGCAGCCGGCGCCACGUCGACGUGGCAGGACUCAAGCCUCCGAAGCCGUUCGACUUCCACAACGCCGCUGACUGGCCCGCCUGGAUAGACGAGUUCGACGACUACAGAAUUGCAUCGGGCCUGCACGAGAAACCUGAGCUGGUUCAAGAAAGAACUCUUCUUUAUACGAUGGGCUGGAAGUCGUUAGAAAUUCUGCGUUCGGUAUGCGUAAAAGACAAAGAAUUCAAGAAGUUCGACCUGAUAAAGUCAAGGUUAGACGGAUACCUCGUUCACACCAAGAACGUUGUGUACGUGAGCGCUCGUUUCAACCAACGCCGACAGCAACUGGGAGAAACGGUAGAACAAUUUGCGACCGUGCUACACAGGCUAGCAGAGCGCUGGAAGUUUAAGGACAUGAAAGAACGUCUUAUCAGAGAUCAAUUCGUAGUCGGUCUUUUGGACCAAACUCGCUCAGAGGUGCUUCAAAUGAAUCCAAAGCUGACGUUGCAGAUAGCUUUAUCGAAAACUCGGACAAGCGAAACAGUAAAGAAACAACAAGCCGAACUAGCAGGGCAAGAGUCCGCAAGCCCUGAAGCGUGCGUUUCGGCCGUGAAACAGGAAAACACCGCCAGAAAGAGCGAAGCCUCAACCAGUCAAAGGACUGCAAACAGCAAGAAGUGCAGCUAUUGCGCUGGUCCUCUACAUCCCAGGACAAGUUGUCCGGUUAAACGAGAAAAAUGCCGCUUUUGUCAAAAGUUAGGACAUUUCGAAAAAGCAUGCAGCAUCAAAAAACGCGACGGCAAGAAACUCGACGUCAUUGCCGCACCAGAUAACUAGCAUUUCUUGGGCACGCUCGAGUAGUCGAAGAACACUUUAUCUGCGCUCUUCGGGACUGUGCAGAUAAAUGGUCAGGAACUUCGAAUGAACGUUGAUACGGAAGCUGAAGUGGCUGUAGCCAGCGAUAAGUUUCCAGGCGUUCCACGCUCUCUAGACGAAGCAGAAGGUCUUCGAGGGCCGAGCAAUGCAAGAAUUUGCACUGCUGCCAAGUACCACUCGAACGUCACCUGGAAUGAUAACUACUCACGACAGACUAUCUACGUCGUCUGCAAUCUGCGAACGGAUUCUUGGGUUCCUAGCGGUCAAUGCCUUGGGCAUCGUUCGAUUCUCGGACGAAAAAGAGAGAGUCGAAAACGUCGAAGCGAAGUAUCACAAACUGUUCAAAGGUACGGGAUCCCUGGCCGGUGAACGCACAAGCCGCUUAGUACCGGAUGCCGUCCCGUAUGCGGUGUCUACUCCUCGUCGGAUUCCCGUGAAAGAAGCAGUAAAGAGAGAGCUAGACAAGCUAGAGCUUGAAGGAAUGUUUCGAAAGGUUGAAGAACCAACAGAGUGGUGCGCCCCAAUCGUGCCAGUACAGAAGCCUUCCGGUGACAUCAGAACCUGUGUCGACCUGACCCACCUAAACAAGUUUGUACGGCGGAAAAGUCACCAGCUUCCAGCGGUAGAAUAAAUCAUGGGCAGCAUCCAAGAAGCCCGUAUCUUUUCCGAACUGGAUGCCAGUUCCGGAUUCUACCAGAUUCACCUUUCGAAAAUCAUGUCAAGAGCUUACCACUUUCAUAACGCCGUAUGGAAGGUAUUGCUACCGAAGACUACCUUUCGGCGUGACUUCAGCACCAGAAAUUUUUGCAAAAAACUUCACGCAAGUCUUGGAAGGCUUAGAAGGCGUACUGAACUACAUGGAUAAUGUAUUAGUGUACGGAGCGAACAAGACUGGAUACGACAGUCGUCUGCACAAGGUACUGGAGAGGCUACAGCAGAAGGACGCGACGCUAAACAAAGAAAACGCUGCUUCUCUGUCGGGAGAGUGUCGUUCCUUGGAAUGGUCUUCGACGCCAGUGGAGUGAGACCUGAUCCCGAGAAAGUUCGGGCCAUCAAAGAGCUCCCCCACCCUCAAAAUGCCGUCGAAGUUCGUUCUCUUCUGGGCAUGAUUAACCACCUUGCAAGAUUCCUCCCAGAUGUAGCAUCUACCAGAGCGCCUCUUCGCAACCCUCUAUGCAAGGAUAACGACUGGUCAUGGAGUCCUCAGCAAGAACAAGCAUUCGCCAAAAUGAAUGACACCUUAAGCUCGGAAAGGUGCCUCACGCGGUGCAAUCCAAGCUACCCAACAAUUGUCCCUGCAGACACCUCGUCGCACGGCCUCGGCGCCGUGCUGCUCCAAGAUCAGCCAUCGGAGGAGCGACGUCCUGUUGCAUACGCCUCCAGGCCACUGAAAAGACGGAACAGAGGUACUCUCAGAUAAAGAAGGAAGCCCUUGAUCUAACAUGAGCUGCAGAACGCUUUGACGAGUUUCUGCGAGGUCUCACGUUUUUGUUCCAAGACUGAUCAUAAACCCCUAUUUCCGUUGCUGGGCCGCGACCCAUUGGACUCCCUACCCCCCAGAAUUCAAAGGUUCCGAAGGCGCCUGAUAAGGUACUCCUUCACCUUCACGUACGUUUCGGGUAAAGCCAUUGCCACGGCAGACACACUGUCACGAGCAAGAAGCAACAGUUUCCCACCGUCACAGGAAAUGCUCUUGGAGGGGGACUUCUCGGCACACACUGACGCAGUCAUCCGGGGACUGCCAGCAUCCGACAGUCUGAUAGACGGAAUACGCGUGGAGCAGACGAAUGACCAGGAAUGCUCAUUGCUGCUUCAAGCCUGCCGUCAACGGUGGCCAGACAAAUACAAGCUACCACUAGUUCUCGGGCAGUACUGGGCACAGCGUGGCAACGUUACUGUUUGCAACGACUUGCUCCUAAAGGACACCAGACUUGUCAUUCCAAGGAGUCUACGGAGGGAAAUGUUUCAAAGGCUCGAUGAAGGCCAUCAAGGCUUCGUUCGCUGCCGAGAAAAAGCCAAAGAAUUUGUUUGGUGGCCGAGUCUCAGCAAAGAUACAGCUAGAGUUGUGUCCGAAUGCCGAGAAUGCGCCACUGAACGCGUGCAAUUCUCAGAACCGAUGAUCCCAUUCGAAACACCAGAACUACCAUGGGAGAAACUAGGAGUUGAUUUAUUUGAACUAAAAGAAGCAGUGUACGUUUUUGUUGUUGAUUUUCACUCCAGAUACCCAGAAAUGGCGUUGCUGGACAGAGGCACGUCAUCUGUGGCCGUCAUUCAACGCCUGAAAGGUAUCUUCGCCCGACACGGGAUUCCGAAGACCGUGGUUUCGGACAACGGGCCCCAGUUUGCAUCGUGUUCGUUUCAAGACUUUGCGAGGACGUACGGGUUCAAGCAAAUGAAAACCAGCCAUCGCUACCCGCAAGCAAACGGUGAGGCUGAACAUACGGUAAGGACUCUAAAACUGCUCUUGAAGAAAGCAGAAGACUCUUACCUUGCGCUGCUGAACGACAGGAAGACCCCUGGGCCUACAGGUUUUAAUCCAGCACAACUUUUUAUGAGCCGACGACUUCGCUCAAGAGUGCCUUGCGCUUCAUCUUUACUCAAACCUCGCACGGUAAGCUCUUCUUGGAAGAAGAGAGAUGAGGAAUAUAGGCAGAAACAGAAAAAGUAUUUUGACAAGCGUCACGCGGCCAGCCCUUUGCGUAGUCCUUCUGCAGGCAACCAAGUAUAACUGAGAGACACAGGUGCUACGGGUGCCACCCUUCGCCCCGGAGACACACCAAGGUCCUACUGGGUCAGGACAAAGGAGGUAGCUCCCGCAGGAACCGCCGUCACCUGUUCUUGUUGCCGGACAUCGAUGCUGGUGCAGAGCCAGAGUGUCAACAAAAUGCCGAGCCCGCGGACAAGACCACGAAUGAUGCAAGCAAGUCUGGGGAGACCACACCGCCAAGCGAGCCUUGCACGUCCGAUCAUCUGGCGACCAGCAUUCCACAGACUGCCCAAGCGGGUGAAACCGCGUCACACGGUGUAACGACGCGAUCUGGGCGUGUUGUAAAUAUUCAUAAAAGACUUAAAUUAAUGACUAGUUUGUUUACGACAAAGAAGGAUUUGUUAUGUUUUCCUACCUGAAGUAAAAGGGGAAGAUGUGAUGUCAUCCUGAUAACGCGCCGACGCGCCGACGGGCGAUUCCUCGCCAAAUGUUAUCACUUGUCACGUGACCCGAAUCAUCUGUAUAUAUUCACGGGUGUUUGAAUAAACGAGACUGUUCUUUCCUC